CUACCCUUGACAUGUCCGAGAGCCUGGAGAGAUCCAGGUGUGCCCGAAAGGGAAUCGGAACACAGGUGCUGCAUGGCUGUCGUCAGCUCGUGUCGUGAGAUGUUGGGUUAAGUCCCGCAACGAGCGCAACCCUUGUCCUCUGUUGCCAUCAGGUUAUGCUGGGCACUCUGAGGAGACUGCCGGUGAUAAACCGGAGGAAGGUGGGGAUGACGUCAAGUCAGCAUGGCCUUUAUGUCUGGGGCUACACACGUGCUACAAUGGCCGACACAAACCGUCGCGAUGCCGCAAGGUGGAGCUAAUCGGACAAAGUCGGUCUCAGUUCGGAUUGCAGGCUGCAACUCGCCUGCAUGAAGUUGGAAUCGCUAGUAAUCGCGGAUCAGCACGCCGCGGUGAAUA
rnacentral:rRNA from 1 species